GAGUUUGAUCGUGGCUCAGGAUGAACGCUGGCGGCGUGCUUAACACAUGCAAGUCAAGGGGGCCCAGCAGUGGGCAACCGGCGAACGGGUGCGUAACACGUGAGCAACCUACCUAGGUGUGGGGGAUAGCCGGCCCAACGGCCGGGUAAUACCGCAUACGCUCUUCUUUAGGCAUUUAGAGGAGAGGAAACCUUCGGGGCACCAUGAGGGGCUCGCGGCCUAUCAGCUAGUUGGCGAGGUAAUGGCUCACCAAGGCUACGACGGGUAGCUGGUCUGAGAGGAUGGCCAGCCACAUUGGGACUGAGAAACGGCCCAGACUCCUACGGGAGGCAGCAGUGGGGAAUCUUGCGCAAUGGCCUAACGGCUGACGCAGCGACGCCGCGUGAGGGAUGACGCUCUUCGGAGUGUAAACCUCUUUUGCCUGGAACGAACCAUCAGCAUUUGCUGAUUUGACGGUACCGGGUGAAUAAGCACCGGCUAACUCCGUGCCAGCAGCCGCCGCGGUAAC
rnacentral:rRNA from 1 species